AGAACGAACGCUAGCGGCAUGCCUAAUACAUGCAAGUCGAACGGGACCUUCGGGUCUAGUGGCGCACGGGUGCGUAACGCGUGGGGAUCUGCCCUUAGGUACGGAAUAACUCAGGGAAACUUGAGCUAAUACCGUAUAAUGACUUCGGUCCAAAGAUUUAUCGCCUAGGGAUGAACCCGCGUAGGAUUAGCUCGUUGGGUGAGGUAAAGGCUCACCAAGGCGACGAUCCUUAGCUGGUCUGAGAGGAUGAUCAGCCACACUGGGACUGAGACACGGCCCAGACUCCUACGGGAGGCAGCAGGUGGGGAAUAUUGACGAAUAGGGCGAAACGCCUGGAUCCAGACAAUUGCCGCGUCGAGU
rnacentral:rRNA from 1 species